rnacentral:rRNA from 1 species
UACGGAGGGUGCGAGCGUUGUUCGGAUUUACUGGGCGUAAAGGGCGCGUAGGCGGUCGUGACAAGUCACUUGUGAAAUCUCCGGGCUUAACUCGGAACGGUCAAGUGAUACUGUCGGACUAGAGUACAGAAGGGGCAACUGGAAUUCUCGGUGUAGCGGUGAAAUGCGUAGAUAUCGAGAGGAACACCUGCGGCGAAGGCGGGUUGCUGGGCUGAUACUGACGCUGAGGCGCGAAAGCCAGGGGAGCGAACGGG